AGGAAUGAAUUGAAGCUACGAUCUGAAGUAUGUGCCGGAGAGAUGACCAAUAAAGUAACCUAUAGUGAAAAGCUGCUGUAAUUAAACGAUUACAUCUAAUUAGUAUAAUUGGUUAAUUGGUAGAUAAUUAGUUGAUAUGGGGAGAGUGAAGGAAGCGAUGGAAGAGGCUGGUAUUACUCCUGGUAAAGUGGGAGCUUGUCUUCUUGUCCAUGAGAUUAUUGGUAUUACAGUUAUGGUUGGCUCGUGGGCUGUGUGUUACAAACUUUUAAAACAUAACAGCGCUAGACGAACUUUGGAGAGAUUAUCACAACAUCGCACUUACAGUACCGGCAAACUGUGGGUAGAGAAGAGGUUCAGUGCAAUUACCAGACAUUCCACACAACUAAACACAGAACACUUCAUUAUAGCAGGCGCUAUGUCCACAGUCCUUAGAAAGAUUUCUUCUCCGGUUUUAGUUCCCGGUAAAAUACUUCUCUCUGUCUCAGCGGUUAGGUAUUUGUAUUCUUCAAAAGAGUUGGAGAUUAGGUGAGAUUCAAGAGAUAAUUUAUAGAGAGUAAGUAUUCUUCAGAUAUAAUCUAGAUGAUUUUGUGCUGACGAGUUAACUAAAUAACUGAAACAAUGUAAAACGGAGAGUUGGGCUAUGAACGAUUUUCUGAACACUUCCUGAAUAUUAGAGCCUUCAUUCCUGAAAUCAGCUGAUAAAUUUAUAUAUUAUUAGUAUCUAUAAUUAUUUAUCUAUGAUAUGAGAUAAUAAUAUGAUGACUUGCUUUGAAUAUGUUGACUUUUGAGGUAGAGACCCUUUUUAUAAUUUAUUUUAUUUGACUUAUCAGAUAAUGAUUAUCUGAGAUAAUAUUAUCUGUUCGAGAUAAUUCGAAAGCAGAAACUAUUUUAACUGCUCCUGAUAUGACUUGAUAAUUUAU